rnacentral:rRNA from 1 species
GACGAACGCUGGCGGCGUGCUUAACACAUGCAAGUCGAACGGAAAGGCCCUGCUUUUGUGGGGUGCUCGAGUGGCGAACGGGUGAGUAACACGUGAGUAACCUGCCCUUGACUUUGGGAUAACUUCAGGAAACAGGGGCUAAUACCGGAUAGGAGCUCCUGCUGCAUGGGGGGGGUUGGAAAGUUUCGGCGGUUGGGGAUGGAAUAGCGGCUUAUCAGCUUGUUGGUGGGGUAGUGGCUUACCAAGGCUUUGACGGGUAGCCGGCCUGAGAGGGUGACCGGCCACAUUGGGACUGCGGUACGGCCCAGACUCCUACGGGCGGCAGCAGUGGGGAAUAUUGCACAAUGGGCGGAAGCCUGAUGCAGCAACGCCGCGUGCGUGAUGACGUCCUUCGGGUUGUAAACCGCUUUCGCCUGUGCCGAAGCGUUAGUGACGGUAACGGGUAAAGAAGCACCGGCUAACUACGUG